rnacentral:rRNA from 1 species
UACGGGGGGGGCAAGCGUUGCUCGGAAUCACUGGGCGUAAAGGGUGCGUAGGCGGGUCUUUAAGUCAGGGGUGAAAUCCUGGAGCUCAACUCCAGAACUGCCUUUGAUACUGAAGAUCUUGAGUCCGGGAGAGGUGAGUGGAACUGCGAGUGUAGAGGUGAAAUUCGUAGAUAUUCGCAAGAACACCAGUGGCGAAGGCGGCUCACUGGCCCGGUACUGACGCUGAGGUGCGAAAGCGUGGGGAGCAAACAGG